AGAGUUUGAUCAUGGCUCAGAUUGAACGCUGGCGGCAGGCCUAACACAUGCAAGUCGAACGGUAACAGAAAGCAGCUUGCUGCUUUGCUGACGAGUGGCGGACGGGUGAGUAAUGUCUGGGAAACUGCCUGAUGGAGGGGGAUAACUACUGGAAACGGUAGCUAAUACCGCAUAACGUCGCAAGACCAAAGAGGGGGACCUUCGGGCCUCUUGCCAUCGGAUGUGCCCAGAUGGGAUUAGCUAGUAGGUGGGGUAACGGCUCACCUAGGCGACGAUCCCUAGCUGGUCUGAGAGGAUGACCAGCCACACUGGAACUGAGACACGGUCCAGACUCCUACGGGAGGCAGCAGUGGGGAAUAUUGCACAAUGGGCGCAAGCCUGAUGCAGCCAUGCCGCGUGUAUGAAGAAGGCCUUCGGGUUGUAAAGUACUUUCAGCGGGGAGGAAGGGAGUAAAGUUAAUACCUUUGCUCAUUGACGUUACCCGCAGAAGAAGCACCGGCUAACUCCGUGCCAGCAGCCGCGGUAAUACGGAGGGUGCAAGCGUUAAUCGGAAUUACUGGGCGUAAAGCGCACGCAGGCGGUUUGUUAAGUCAGAUGUGAAAUCCCCGGGCUCAACCUGGAACUGCAUCUGAUACUGGCAAGCUUGAGUCUCGUAGAGGGGGGUAGAAUUCCAGGUGUAGCGGUGAAAUGCGUAGAGAUCUGGAGGAAUACCGGUGGCGAAGGCGGCCCCCUGGACGAGGACUGACGCUCAGGUGCGAAAGCGUGGGGAGCAAAUAGGAUUAGAUACCCUGGUAGUCC
rnacentral:rRNA from 1 species